rnacentral:rRNA from 1 species
GACGAACGCUGGCGGCGUGCCUAAUACAUGCAAGUAGAACGCUGAAGGAGGAGCUUGCUUCUCUGGAUGAGUUGCGAACGGGUGAGUAACGCGUAGGUAACCUGCCUGGUAGCGGGGGAUAACUAUUGGAAACGAUAGCUAAUACCGCAUAAGAGUAGAUGUUGCAUGACAUUUGCUUAAAAGGUGCAAUUGCAUCACUACCAGAUGGACCUGCGUUGUAUUAGCUAGUUGGCGGGGUAACGGCUUACCAAGGCGACGAUACAUAGCCGACCUGAGAGGGUGAUCGGCCACACUGGGACUGAGACACGGCCCAGACUCCUACGGGAGGCAGCAGUAGGGAAUCUUCGGCAAUGGACGGAAGUCUGACCGAGCAACGCCGCGUGAGUGAAGAAGGUUUUCGGAUCGUAAAGCUCGGUUGUAAGAGAAGAACGAGUGUGAGAGUGGAAAGUUCACACUGUGACGGUAUCUUACCAGAAAGGGACGGCUAACUACGUG